GCAGUCGAACGAGAAAGCACUUCGGUGUGAGUACAGUGGCGGACGGGUGAGCAACGCGUAGGAAUCUACCUAGUAGUGGGGGACAACUCGAGGAAACUCGAGCUAAUACCGCAUACGCUCUUAGGAGGAAAGUGGGGGAUCUUCGGACCUCACGCUAUUAGAGGAGCCUGCGUUAGAUUAGCUUGUUGGUGAGGUAAAGGCUCACCAAGGCGACGAUCUAUAGCUGGUCUGAGAGGACGAUCAGCCACACUGGAACUGAGACACGGUCCAGACUCCUACGGGAGGCAGCAGUAGGGAAUCUUGGGCAAUGGGCGAAAGCCUGACCCAGCGAUGCCGCGUGUGCGAAGAAGGCCUUAGGGUUGUAAAGCACUUUCAGUCGUGAAGAAAAGCUACGAUUUAAUAUGUCGUGGUCUUGACGUUAGCGACAGAAGAAGUACCGGCUAACUCCGUGCCAGCAGCCGCGGUAAUACGGAGGGUACGAACGUUAAUCGGAAUUACUGGGCGUAAAGCGCGCGUAGGCGGUUUGAUAAGUGGGAUGUGAAAGCCCCGGGCUCAACCUGGGAACUGCAUUCCAAACUGUCAAACUAGAGUGUGGUAGAGGGCGGUAGAAUUUCCUGUGUAGCGGUGAAAUGCGUAGAUAUAGGAAGGAAUACCGAUGG
rnacentral:rRNA from 1 species